UGUUGUUGCUGCCUUCUACCAGCUUUUUGAACUCCUACAUCCCACAACAACUGUGGCAAGUAGCGGAUGGCUGAAUGAUGACAGACCAGACAGCCAUCCCAGUUGCAGCAGCUGACCUGCAGACCCUGAGUGAUUCCCAGCUUCAGGCACUCAACCAUCUUGAAGCAGGACUUGUGGAAGGUGUUCUCUACAGAGAGAGAAAGGACAAUUGAUGAAAGUGUAAAUGGCAAUUUAUUCUUGCAU